UACGUAGGGUGCAAGCGUUGUCCGGAAUUAUUGGGCGUAAAGAGCGCGUAGGCGGUCCGGUAAGUCGGCUGUGAAAGUCAAGGGCUCAACCCUUGAAAGCCGGCCGAUACUGUCGGACUAGAGUCCGGAAGAGGCGAGUGGAAUUCCCGGUGUAGCGGUGAAAUGCGCAGAUAUCGGGAGGAACACCAAUGGCGAAGGCAGCUCGCUGGGACGGUACUGACGCUGAGACGCGAAAGCGUGGGGAGCGAACAGG
rnacentral:rRNA from 1 species